GCAUAUUUCAACAAUAAAAAAAUUGAUGCCUCACAACUCUCUACCCCUCACACGCCCCAUCCACCAUUUUUUUAGUAAUUAAAAUCCACAUCUCUAAAACCUACCUCUUUCUUAAGUGAAAGUAUUCCACCAUAUUUUAAUUUUCUCUUCUUGGAAAAUUUAUCUCUAUAAACUCUCUUAAAUGAUCUCUUCUUAGGUAGAAGUAUUCCACUGUAUCUCAACAAAUAAGUGCAUGUCCCAAAAUCUCUCAUAUUUCA
rnacentral:lncRNA from 1 species